UACGUAGGUGGCAAGCGUUGUCCGGAAUUACUGGGUGUAAAGGGCGUGUAGGCGGGAUAGCAAGUCAGAUGUGAAAUUCCGGGGCUCAACCCCGGCGCUGCAUCUGAAACUGUUAUUCUUGAGUGUCGGAGAGGAAAGUGGAAUUCCCAGUGUAGCGGUGAAAUGCGUAGAUAUUGGGAGGAACACCAGUGGCGAAGGCGGCUUUCUGGACGAUAACUGACGCUGAGGCGCGAAAGAGUGGGGAGCAAACAGG
rnacentral:rRNA from 1 species